GCUGCCAGACCUGCCAAGCUUUUCCAGAAACUUCUGUUUUUGUUCCCGAUUUACAGCAUCCACAGUUCUUCAUUUUGUUAAAAAUGAAGGCUUUUUUGCAGACACAAUGUAGAUGUAGCAGGGACCAGAUGAACUGCUUUACAAUCAAGGAGUUCAGUUGGGAAAAAAAAAAGAAGAGGAGGAGGAGGAACCAAAGUGUGUUGGCACAGAAAAGCAAGUUGAAAGGAUAUCCUGGCAUCUGAGGCAAUUCGAAAAAGAUCCCUGGGACAAAGAUCUUGACUUAUGGAGGACAGCUAAACAAGCAAGGAGAUCCUGACUGGAAUGUGGCAGUGAUGCCAAUACCAUGAAACACAACUGAGAUCAAAGAAUUAGGAUACAGUCCUGCAGUUCAGCCCAUUGGUCACACCUUCAAUGUGAAGUAAACACAGCACAGGUUAAUGAACAGACUAUGUACAUUUAGCAGAAAGCACUUUUGAAGCUGGUGCUUCAACCAUUCUAUUUGACUUGACAAGGCAGGAUUAGUUGCUCUUUUCAUGCCAAUGCCUCUAAAAUUACAUAUUGAAAGCAACACUUACCAUCUCGCAAAAAGGUGUCAGCAAAGUAAAGGCAG